AUUGAACGCUGGCGGCAGGCCUAACACAUGCAAGUCGAACGGUAACAGGAAACAGCUUGCUGUUUCGCUGACGAGUGGCGGACGGGUGAGUAAUGUCUGGGAAACUGCCUGAUGGAGGGGGAUAACUACUGGAAACGGUAGCUAAUACCGCAUAACGUCGCAAGACCAAAGAGGGGGACCUUCGGGCCUCUUGCCAUCGGAUGUGCCCAGAUGGGAUUAGCUAGUAGGUGGGGUAACGGCUCACCUAGGCGACGAUCCCUAGCUGGUCUGAGAGGAUGACCGGCCACACUGGAACGGAGACACGGUCCAGACUCCUACGGGAGGCAGCAGUGGGGAAUAUUGCACAAUGGGCGCAAGCCUGAUGCAGCCAUGCCGCGUGUAUGAAGAAGGCCUUCGGGUUGUAAAGUACUUUCAGCGGGGAGGAAGGGAGUAAAGUUAAUACCUUUGCUCAUUGACGUUACCCGCAGAAGAAGCACCGGCUAACUCCGUG
rnacentral:rRNA from 1 species